CUUCAUUUGAAAAUCCUCAAACUGUACAAUGGCCUUGGGCCAACGCGUGAAAACAGCUUCCAUGAACUCAUCAACAAUAGAUAGAUACUCUUCUCCUUCCAGCCUAGGUUGUCGAAGUCCUAAAUAAAGACGAUCCUCGAGUAGCUUUUGAUUGUUUGUACCAACAUCCAGCAUAACUGGUAGUAUUUUCUGUGGGUUGAAACCAGCAGCAGCAACAUACAUAUCAAGCUUUCCAAUGGGUAUGCCGAUUCCUUGAACACCAAGGUCUCCUAGGCCAAGAAUACGACUUCCAUCUGUUAGGACUAUCAUGUCCACCUGUUGAGCUGGCCAAUUAUAGAUCAUUGACAUCAUCUCUCCUUUAUCCUUUGCACUAAAAUACAUUCCACGGGGACGUCGAAAUAGGCCUGAAUAAUUUUGGCAUACCAGCCCUACAGUUGGAGUGUAUAUUAUCGGAGCAAAAUCCUUGAUGUUGUCGAUAAGGACUCGAUAGUACAGUGUCUCAUUCCUAUCAUGAAGUCUAUUCAAGAUCCUCCAUUUUGCUAAUGAUACAACACCAUCUGGUUGUCCCUGAGUAUUUUUCUCCAGCGAUCGAUAUGACUCCAUAAAACGAGCAUAUUGCUGCUCAAAUGAUAUAACACGAGGUGGAAGGAGGCCUCGCAGCCCUAGUCGAUCUCUUUCAGUCAAGGGAAACCCAGUAUCCUUAUUGAACCAAGGAUCAUGCAGAAUAUCAGCACCACGCUUGUGAACAAUACAUGGACCAGGUAUCGCCGUCGAGAACCUCCGUGAUCGGCGCAAACUGGAAGACGCGAAUCGCGUAAGUUUCCACAUUUUGUGCCCUAAAAAUCGAAGAUCUAACUAAACGAAAACUCCAAAAAUAUUUUAAAAAAAAUCAAUCCAAAGAAAACAAACUCGAAAAUCAAUUUCACAGUAUCUUAAACCACACGGACUCUCUCGUAAACAGAGAUCAGAGAGUGAAG
rnacentral:misc_RNA from 1 species